rnacentral:rRNA from 1 species
ACAAGUACCUUGAGGGAAAGUUGAAAAGAACUUUGAAGAGAGAGUUCAAAAGGACGUGAAACCGCUCGUAGGGAAACGGAUAGAACCACGAAGUGUAGCUGGAAGGAGAAUUCAGCUCUUUCGCACGGUGUUGCCGGGGCAUCAGGCUGUGGAGUAUGCUUUCAUACAGCAUCAAGAUCACCAGUAUUGGGGUAACCCAGUAUUGGCCUUGAGCUCCAUAGUCUAUGGUAUGUUCCAGGAUACUCUAGGCAACAUUCGUGUGGGGAGUGCAUUUUCUCAUCUUCCGUGCUCGAGUCUCGACCAGUGUGGUGGAGUAUUGAGAGAAUACUCGUAUACAGUGACCAUAGAAAGGUAUGCUAACACCAUACCUGAUCUACACUUGGUUAUCAAUGCUACUGUACAUCCUUGCGGUGAAUAGACUAGCAGUGAGCCAAGUUAGGCAGCUAUGAUCACAUACACACUGGACAAGAAUCUCUGCGUAUGCAGGGUCAACACAGUGCCGGGUAAGGUACUUAUGUGUGCCCGAGUAGUGUAUUCGCUAUUGAAUGCUGUUUCUGUACUCAGUGCAGGAACGAUUCAUGGUUAUGCUACUCUUUGGUGGUCCACACUAGUAUAUCUUACUCGGUUACAUGAACUGUUGAUGUGAUUCGGAGGCAAGUAGAUCGGUACUCUAUCCGACCCGUCUUGAAACACGGACCAAGG